AUAAAUUUAAGUUAUAUAUUUUCAUUGAACAUAACAGUCUUCACGCAGCCUCUGAAAAUUUAAAAAUAUUUUCCCGCUUACUAACGGCAAUAAACAUGAUUUAUUUGAAAACUGGUACAGGCGAUUUGUGGAUGCCCAAAGUGUCAAACGCAACACCAAAAGAUUGUAAUAAAGAUGGUUUUUCACCACCAACAACAACAACAGCAAUAUCAGUAACACCAACUCAAGUAGCUACAACAACAACCAAAGUGAGCAAACAAACAGCUAGUCAACAACAGCAACGUCAACUGGAGCAAGAACAACUGUACCAAUACCAACAAAAGCAUGCAACGGUAAUCACAGCUGAGCAGCAACAACAUCAAAUGAGUCUGAUAAUGAAAAUGCCAACGGCAACGGCCGCAGCAUCAUCUCCCACAGCCUCAGGCACAAUUGUUUCACCAAUACCGCGCGCAUCAAAGCGCAAUUCCCCAGCAGGCAGCAACAAUAGCUCGCCAAGCAAAGAAAAGUCUGAAAGAAUUCUACUCGGGGGUCAUUACACGACACAGCCGCAACCGGGCAAAGAAUAUUGUGAGAGCGGCGAUGAUCGCGACAGCGAUUGGAAUACACGCAGGCAAAUGUUGUCUCCAACAACAACAGCACCACCAAUAAGUGGUAUAACAACAAUAACACCACUACACAAAACUAUAGCGCCAAUACCAAAGCAAAGAUCAGCGUAUUCACCGGUGAAGAAUGCUUCUGCAGCUGCAGCCAAAGAAUCCGUUUCGGGCCAUACAAAUCAGCCAGCGAGCGAGCAGAGAGUUAGCACAACAACUCGUCUAACAGGUACAACUGCCACAGCAGCGCUGAGAGCGGAGCUGCAGAGCACAGCUGGUGGUGAUGGUGGCGGUGGUGGCAGCGGUAGCCACUUCGAUAUCGACGAUGGUACCAUCACUCCAUAUAACGUCUCAGCUGUUGCCGCUGGCAGUGGUCACGGCGAUGGCGAAGAAUGUGUGGCAGACGAAAAGCAGGAAAAUGAAACAAUACACAGAGCAACGGCAGCCGAGAGCGGUGGUGAAAUGUAUGCAACGACUGGCAGGCAAAUACCAUCCACAACGUUUGGUUCGCCAACUAGAGCGAAUGUGAGUGUAGCGUCGCCACUAUCGCCCAAGCUAGUCGCUGCACAAGCAGCUCAGUCUCAGCAAUCGCAACAGUUUCAUUCGAAGAACGAACGCGAACGGACGUACACCGAACAGCGCGGUACGUCAACGUCGUCGUCGGCCGGGUCUAAUAGUAAUUCAAAUACCACAACCAAAGUGCAAACACAAGAAAAUACCACAACAAUCAACAAUAGACAUUAUAACGCCUCAACUAGCUCGUAUUCGCCCUCGAAUUACGCGAUCCCACAGCAGAACAACAGUGGUGUUAGUGGUAGUGGAAAAAUCUUUUCGAAACUACACAAUAAUCAGUUCAUAAAGAAUCAACAGCAGCAACAUCAACAACUGCAGCAGACCGGUGCGCAACCGAGCACCGCCACACAAUCGAAUAUUACGGCACGUUAUCUGAAAUACAAGUCGCAAGCAGCGCAUGCGCAGGAAUCUGGAAGCGGCAGUGAAACUGGUUCGACAAGCACCAACUACUCAGGCUCGCCAACCAAAUCGUUUGUGGCACCCACUGCAAGUGCAAUCAAAAAGAAAAUGGUUGCCGUGCAGGAAAUGAAGAAAACGACACAACCAAGUAGUAAUCAUGGACAACUGCAUUCGCACCGCACACACCACAAUCAUCAACAGAUGAUUAGCGCUGGUGGCGGUGGUACAUGUGCGCGUACAGCGUUAAGCGGUGGCCGCGCACAGCCGCCCAGCCAAACGGACGAGGUUAACUUCGAUCCGGCCGAGGAUCUCAGCUAUGGUCCGGGAAUUGUGUCUAAAUUGCGUUGCCGUUACCUUAGUCUCGCAUUUCGCGAAUCUAUGGAAAAGGAGCGCCAUUGUUUGGAUAACAUGCGUCGCGCUACUAGCCUCAAUAAUUUACUUGAUCGUGACGAUGCGCACGAUGAGGAUGAGCCUGAAGAUGAUUUGGACAGCGGUGGUGCCGUCGAUGUGGAGGUGCAUGAUGAGGAGGAGUAUGUGGAGUUACGCGCUGAUGCGGAUAGGACACCAAACACUGAACGGAAAUUGAAAACACAGGGUGGCAUAUUAAAGCACGGUGGCGACGCUGCUACACAAGACAACACCAAAAAGACAACAACGUUUCAGAAAAAUGCAAACGCUUUUGCUGCAAAUGGCACGCGUUUGCUAAAUUCGGCACCGGUCGGCAGCGUAGGCGACGCGGUAUCGUCAGCCAACGUCGCGGCGCCCGAUACACCGCGUUCGCGUCAUGUCAAACGCGGUAAUGAUUCGUUAAAACGCGCGCGUUCGGUCGAAGCAUUGCUCUGUGAACGUUCACCUUGGCAAUAUGCGGCGCUCAAUCGCACUAGCUAUCAGCCACAGCGUUUCACUUCUGGCGGUAGUUCGUCUUAUGCGGCAGCAACACAGCCGACUUGUGUAACUAUCGAGGAUAAAAUAAAUAAUGCGCGCAGCCGGCUAAUACUCGGCACCGAUAUAAUGCCACCGAAGCGUUUAACCUCAGUGAUCGAUGAUACCGAGCGACCGCCACCAGAUUUGGUAAAGCAAACAUUGAAGAAGUUCGAAGCGACGGCCAAUCGACGCGGACGCGGGCCAAAUCGCACGAACGGCACCGGUGAAGUCGCCAACAAAGUGGCAACCUACAAGACAAUCAUUAAGGAGAAUAAGCCUGCAAUAGUAUUUCCAAAACCACCGCUCAGUCCCACCAAGAAAAUAAAUUCGCCACUAUUAUCGAAACCAUUAGCCAAACCAGUUGUGGGCGCUAAUGAUUUGCUCAACAGUCCGUUAGGGCGCAAAACCGCUGCCGCAGCCGCUGUCAAUGCCUCUGCGGCUGUGACUGGAAAUACGCAAGCUGCGACCUCAAACGUAGCAGCCACCAGCGGCUUAUCAGAGAACUCACCCGAUAUCAUUCCAAGGCAUAAGCUUUUAACGGAAAAGAGCGAAUCGUUAUUGCAUGGGGUUGUCGAUUCGCCAGUGACAGCUUUAACGAAAAAGCUCGAAAAGCUGCGCAUUACCGCUGCUGAUAAACAACAACAACAACAGCUGCAAACAAUAACAACAAAGGAGGCGAAACAGCCAGCACAGUUGAAUAAGCAGUCACAACACUCGGCACUCGAAGUAACCAGCAGCGACAACGAAUUCGUCAAUAGCAGCGAGUUAAACAACGACAACAAUGCUAGCAAUAGCAGCCAGCUCGUGGGUGGCGCACACGAGGGUGAAGCGACGGGCGAUAGUGACGCAGCCCUCGAAGGCAACGAAAAUAGCAAUAACAACAAACAAGCAGCACCGACGAAACAGCAUAAUGAUCGUGCGGGCACGGGCACUGGUACUGGUAUUAGCGCUAGCGGCGAGUCAGCCGUAGAACCCGAUACAGCACAAGCAGGAACCGUCGCUAUUAGUAGUGAUCUUAGCGACGACGACGACGGACUGAUUGGUAUUGCCGCCGCCGCACCCACAAAACGUAUAACACGUACAGCACUCGAUAAUAUCGCACGCGCAGGCACAACACAACAAUUCAAAUUCGCUGGCAGCAGUGGACAAACGAAUAUCGGCAGCAAAUCAACAGUUGAGCCGCCAAAAACUAAACCGCAAACAAACUUGAAUCCCGAUAUACCCACAUCGGUAUUGAACGCUGCACCUGGUAAGCAAAUCGGGGUCAUACGCCCUUUACUCACCACCACAGCCGCACAACAAGCGGCCAACGCGAACACCACCAACUCCGGCUUUUCGCAUCAACAACAAUUGUUGCAACAACAUUUGGAAGCAUUGAAACAAAAUAACGUCUACAACAACACGUCAUCGACGCCCACAAGCGUCAGCAACGCCACAGCAACACAUUCCUCAAUUUAUCACAGCACACCGCCGCUGACGAGCCGCGAAAUUGAAAAGAAUCGUAUAAAUGAAAUGAAGAAAACCGUCGCCUUAGCCGAUGGUAGUCCAAUAACAGCCACAAUGGUCAACGCCAGCAACAAUGCCACUUCACCCGCCGCACAGCAUGCCGUAAAUGCUAGUCUAAAUACCGUGAUAAAUACCAAUGCGCCCGGUCAUAAGUCCAACAACGCUAGCGCUACGUCGUCAACAGCGCCAAUUGUUGGCGGUAGUUCCGGCACUUCCGGUUUCAACGAGCUCGAUGCGGCAGCGCCAGGCGCUAAUAAUAGUCCCUUAUGGGCGUUACGCAUUAAACGGCAGACACCACCGAGUGUGCCACAGGAAAACACAUCGAUGGUGUUCAACUUUUCCAAUCGCAAAGAGGUGCCCGAUUAUAUUGAGAAUGACGGUGUGAUCUUUCGCAGAAAACGUGAAUUGCCCAAGCCAAAUGAAUCUGGUUUCGUGCUACUUGGUGAUCUCUCAUUAGAAACUUCAACAGACUCGGAUUAUGAUGAUUUCUCUAUGUGCCCACCAUCACCCUGCGAUGUUGAAUUCGAAAAUGCUAAUAUUGUGAUCGAUGGAAAGUCAAGCAUCCGACAGAAAUCCAAAGAAGCAACGUUCCGCGUACAAUUCAAUGAUACGCUCACCUCCACCUUUGAAUAUCCCUCUGAGGCAUCGCUAAUCAUUGACGAUUCCUACAGCAAUGAUGCGUUGAUAGGCGCCUAUGAGAACUUAUCAUUAAAUGAUACAACGGAUUCUUCACCAGCGCGACACCAUCAUGUAGCCGUUGAUGAGAUUAUACAACUGCCAACGCCGGCGAAUACCUCAUCACCCGCCAAUAAUGCCAGCAGCGCAACAAAUACGCCAACGAAAAAUAUACUGGGGAAUUUGCCACUAGAUGUAAAUUAAAUAAUUAAAUAAAAAUUAACGAAAUAACAUUUACAAUGCGUUUGUAUAAGUGUGCCUAAACUGAAAAAGCGCGUUGAAUUAAAAACGAUUAACAUUAAAUGUCGAAAAAUAAACAAAAAAAAAAAAAACAUUUAUUUGAACCAAGUAACUUAUACAAAAUAAUACAAAAAUUUUACGAAACUCCGUAAAUGCCAAAAAAAAUAAAUUUUCACAACAAUAAACGCUUAUACUACCAAAGCUAUUUAAAUUAUCUGCCUGCCCGUACGCCCGUUCGAAAGUCUGCUACUCGUACAACCAAACCAACAACAUGACCACCAACAGCACCGUUACUUUGCUACCUACCUAAUACUAAACGCUAACUAUAAGUACUCGACAGUAAACUAUAAAACUGCUAACAAACCACCUUAAAAUAUAAUAUUACUUGAAACUGCCAAAAAUGUUUUUAUAUACUACUAAAAAUACAUAAAUUAAAAAUACAAAAAAACAACGCAUAUAAUGUAAUUAUGCGUCGCUAUAACUUACGUUUAAUUAAUGCUAAUGCUACAAAAUCAUACACACGCGUCAACAACCAACAAUGCAACCUGCAACAAGCUAUGAAUUACAGAAAUAUAUAAGCAACACACACAAUUCGCAAUGUUUUCAACGGUAAAUAAAGAACAGCUGUUCAAUAAACGCACACAACACCUUAAACGUGGUGUAAGCACAUUUACGCGUUCGCGUUAUGUGCGGAAGCGUAAUGAGUAACCGAUCGAAGUACGUGAAAUGCCAACUGCUAUUCCACUUUUUUGCUUAACCUCGAAUUCGAAACGCAAAAAUGUGUGCAAUAAGUAGUGAAUGUUGAGCUACUGUCAUAAAAAAAUAGAAAAAUCAAAAAAUUGACUUUUAUAACUAAAAUGUGAAACUACGAAUUGUGUGUACGUGUGUUGGGCCACUUUUGAAAAUUCUGUUUGAGUUGAGGUUCAGCACCGCUUGGUUUUUAUACGCCUGUGAAAGCGCCCAUCGAAAGUCUCUUUCAACUGGGAGUAACGCGUGCACCUAACGGU